AUGACAUCUGCCCGCUAGACAUGAACACCUUACCAUCAUUCCAUACAACAAAUAUAGUAGACCUAUUGCAUAUAGUAUGAGAAAAACAGACCAAAACUCAAAAAUUUAACUAUAACCACUGAACCAUGAAAAUGAGGUCAAGGUCAGAUGACACCUGCCAGUUGGACAUGUACACCUUAGUCCUUCCAUACACCGAAUAUACUAGCCCUAUUGCUUAUAGUAUCUGAGAUAUGGACU
rnacentral:lncRNA from 1 species